ensembl:lncRNA
GGUACUUCUCCCAAAUGUUUACAGUCCAGGGGAGAGGGACUCCUAAGAAAAGCCAAGAGAGAGAGAGAGACAGAGGGUGGGGGUGAUGAAGAGAGAAAAGGAGAGGGGAGUGGAAAGGGAAGAGGUGAGAAGAGAGGCUGAGAAGAGAGAGGAGGGAGAAGACAGGGAAGGCAGGGUGCAGAGAUGGGGCGCACAUGCCAGCCGGCACAGCCGCGCAGCGCUGCCCCCAGGAAGCCUGCGUCUGUUUGGCGGGGCGGGAGCCGCGGGGUCCCCAGAGCCCGCCGACACUUCCCGGCCAACGCGCCCAACCAGGGUGCCCCUGCACGCUAAUGAGGGGUCUAGAUCGGCUUCACACACGAUCGCUCCAAGUGUUCAGGAACUUACCGGGCUGCGGAAUGAUGGGGUACAGCUCCCGGGGGACCGCCCCCCGCCCAGCAGAGGGGCCUUGGCCUCCAGGUACCCGGUGCUCACAGCCCCAGGGAUGACUCCAUUCUCCUUCCCCAGAGAUUGCUCCAAGGAUGGACAUGUGACCAUUCUUUCCAGAAGAUUCUGGAGCUGCUGGAACCUCCUUUAUCCUGCUUGACAAGAGAUAAACUCACAAGGAAAAAGUUCUUUCCUUCUGUGCUACUUUUUGUUCAUUGGAUGUGGUCAUGGGAGGCAGCCUUCAUGUGUCAAUGAGGUAAAAAAUAUCAUUGGCGUAACACUAGGAUGUUAUGAAGAAGGACAGAAAAAACACUUUUAGCCACAUAUUUUUAUCACCUGUGGUUGGAACGUAUCCUAACUGAUCCAGCAUCCUUUGAAUUUGUUAGUUGCCUCCUGGUCAUCAAUGGCCUUGGAAGAAUAGCAUCAGUGAAGUUGUGGAGGUGGAUGUUUGAUGAUAGUGAGUCGAGAUGUAAAUUGGAAAAUUCUGUUCCCAAAAAUAUGGAGGACUGAAUAAGCAUAGGGAAAUUCUAGAUAAUGUAUAACAGCUUUCUUUUAAGUGCAUAGCUGAGUGCUCUAGAAGGGAAGAAGAAACAGAAAAGCAGAGAGCUAAGCACCUGAGUUAACACUAUGUCAGCCUUGGGAGCUGGUGUUUAAUGGGGACAUGGCAACCUUAGGGGACUGGGCAGCAACCUUGAGCAGUGUAGAGACAAAGUCUUGUGUCUGGGGAGAUGCAACAGAAAUUUCCACAACAACUUAGGGCCCUUAAAGGGCUGUAUUUUCACUGAAAAUGUGCAACAGAAAAAAGUCCACAUUUACAUUCAAGAAAACAUGCAAGUUUAUGUGAUUUGACCUGAAAUCUGGGGGAAAUCUCUCAUAAUUAAUAAACAAGGCCUGUCCUCAUGUGUCUUUGAUGUU